GCACUGAUGGUGUAGUGAUAUCAUGCAAGAUUCCCGUUCUUGCGACCCGGGUUCGAUUCCCGGGCAGUGCA
rfam:Ciona savignyi cont_30224, whole genome shotgun sequence.